rnacentral:lncRNA from 1 species
CGCCGACCACUUUUUCUCAUCACACCAAAAUGAUUUUUGCAUGAAUGUUUUUGUGCCAAGCUAAGAUUUGUUGCCCACCUUUCUGAGUCCCUUAGAUGUGAAUUGAGUUUGAUUCAAAAUAGAGUUCAAAUCUGAUUUGAAUUCAGGAUAAGAUCAAACCCUAUUUGAACCUGAACCAAAAUGUUCAAACUCUAUUUUUAUCUUGAUGGGAUGCCACCUUAUGAAGGGGUAUUUUUUGUGCACCCUAUCAGAUUACUUUUGCUAUGAAAGAACCUCAAGGUUUAGGCAUGAAAAAUCUGAGAGAGGGGUGGGCAUCCAUUCAUGAGAAAAAGAGGAAGAAGGUUCCUCUUUGGGCG